AUUGAACGCUGGCGGCAGGCCUAACACAUGCAAGUCGAACGAGUGGCGGACGGGUGAGUAAUGUCUGGGACACUGCCUGAUGGAGGGGGAUACACACUGGAAGCGGUAGCUAAUCCCGCAUACCCUCGGAUGUGCCCAGAUGGUAUUAGCUAGUAGGUGGGGUAACGGCACACCUAGGCCACGAUCCCUAGCUGGUCUGAGGGGAUGACCAGCCACACUGGAACUGAGACACGGUCCAGACUCCUACGGGAGGCAGCAGUGGGGAAUAUUGCACAAUGGGCGCAAGCCUGAUGCAGCCAUGCCGCGUGUAUGAAGAAGGCCUUCGGGUUGUAAAGUACUUUCAGCGGGGAGGCGUUACCCGCAGAAGAAGCACCGGCUAACUCCGUGCCAGCAGCCGCGGUAAUUC
rnacentral:rRNA from 1 species